UUUUGUGUGUAUUAAAGUGAGAAAAAAAACGAAAAAAAAACGUUAAAAUUAAGUCUAUACUUUGGAACUAUCUCAAUUUUGUAUCAAUCACAAAAGUUUUAUCAGAAUUGUUUACUCGAUUGUCUAGUUAGUUCGUUCUUAAUCCGUUUUUAUAAAGUGUUACUUAUCAAUCUACAGAUUAAAAGAUAAAUGAUUGUGUAAUAAGACAUUACUCUUUCUUAUUCGCAGUAGAUAUUGUACAACAGAAAAAUAAAUAAAUCGUUCAGAGAUUGUUACAUUCGUAUUAUACAAUAGCUUAAAACAUCAAUUCAUUAAAGAUUUUCUUGCGAGACGUACAAAUCUCUUUCAAAGGAUCCAUUUACGACAUGUUAAGAUUUCGUAUGUGAAUAGUUCAAUAUGUCUCUCGUAAUAUUAUUAUUGGCUACGUUUGUAUGUCUUGUAUCAUUCUGGAUAAGAUGGAGAAAAAGAAAAAUGAGCGUGUUUCAAAGAUAUGGGAUUCCAGGACCAAAACCCCAUUUCAUUACUGGAAAUUUAAUGGAAUAUCAC